CUGCCAUAAACUGCCAUAUACAGCCAUAUAAAUUAACUGUUAUAUGCGACCAUCCUGUCAUAAAAACACUUUAGUCUCCUAUAGAAAUAAGCCAUACCAUUAUCUACCAUAAAGUACUGAAUUAUUCCUCCAUUAUUGCAGCACUUGUGGCAGAGCUGACGGCUCUAAAGAUCCAAAUGGAUGACAAUGAGCAGAACGUGGAGAACCUGACUCAUCAGAAUGCAGAACAAGCAGCAGAGCUGAAAGCUGUCAAGAACCAAGUAGAAGAUCUGCAGCAGAAGAACUCAGAGAUUGGAGGACUGAAGACCAGACUAACAUCAGUGGAGACCAAAGUGGAGAAACUGAACAACAUGAAUGCAGG
rnacentral:lncRNA from 1 species